rnacentral:rRNA from 1 species
UGAGGCCUACGGGGGGCAGCAGUGGGGAAUAUUGCACAAUGGGGGAAACCCUGAUGCAGCGACGCCGCGUGAGCGAGGAAGUAUUUCGGUAUGUAAAGCUCUGUCAGCAGGGAAGAAGAAUGACGGUACCUGAAGAAGAAGCACCGGCUAAAUACGUGCCAGCAGCCGCGGUAAUACGUAUGGUGCAAGCGUUAUCCGGAUUUACUGGGUGUAAAGGGAGCGCAGGCGGUUCUGCAAGUCUGAUGUGAAAGCCAAGGGCUCAACCCUUGGACUGCUUUGGUAACUGUGCUGCUGGGGUGUCGGGG